rnacentral:tRNA from 1 species
GGAGUUGUGGCUCAGUGGUAGAGCGCUUCUCUGGCACGUGUGAAGUCCUGAGUUCGAGCCUCAGCAUCGCAU